rnacentral:rRNA from 1 species
UACCAGCACCCCGAGUGGUCGGGACGUUUAUUGGGCCUAAAGCAUCCGUAGCCGGUUCUACAAGUCUUCCGUUAAAUCCACCUGCUUAACAGAUGGGCUGCGGAAGAUACUAUAGAGCUAGGAGGCGGGAGAGGCAAGCGGUACUCGAUGGGUAGGGGUAAAAUCCGUUGAUCCAUUGAAGACCACCAGUGGCGAAGGCGGCUCACUGGCUCGGUACUGACGCUGGAGGUGACGAAAGCGUGGGGAGCAAACAGG